rnacentral:rRNA from 1 species
ACAGCAGCAGCCGCGGUAAUACGAAGGGUGCAAGCGUUAAUCGGAAUUACUGGGCGUAAAGCGUGCGUAGGCGGUGAGUUAAGUCUGCUGUGAAAUCCCCGGGCUCAACCUGGGAAUGGCAGUGGAUACUGGCUCGCUAGAGUGUGUCAGAGGAUGGUGGAAUUCCCGGUGUAGCGGUGAAAUGCGUAGAGAUCGGGAGGAACAUCAGUGGCGAAGGCGGCCAUCUGGGACAACACUGACGCUGAGGCACGAAAGCGUGGGGAGCAAACAGGAUUAGAUACCCGGGUAGUCCCUGUCUCUUAUAC